CAGCAGUAGGGAAUCUUCCACAAUGGGCGCAAGCCUGAUGGAGCAACACCGCGUGAGUGAAGAAGGGUUUCGGCUCGGUAAAGCUCUGUUGUUAAAGAAGAACACGUAUGAGAGUAACUGUUCAUAUGUUGACGGUAUUUAACCAGAAAGUCACGGCUAACUACGUGCCAGCAGCCGCGGUAAUACGUAGGUGGCAAGCGUUAUCCGGAUUUAUUGGGCGUAAAGAGAGUGCAGGCGGUUUUCUAAGUCUGAUGUGAAAGCCUUCGGCUUAACCGGAGAAGUGCAUCGGAAACUGGAUAACUUGAGUGCAGAAGAGGGUAGUGGAACUCCAUGUGUAGCGGUGGAAUGCGUAGAUAUAUGGAAGAACACCAGUGGCGAAGGCGGCUACCUGGUCUGCAACUGACGCUGAGACUCGAAAGCAUGGGUAGCGAACAGGAUUAGAUACCCUGGUAG
rnacentral:rRNA from 1 species